rnacentral:rRNA from 1 species
AUUGAACGCUGGCGGCAGGCCUAACACAUGCAAGUCGAGCGAGCGGCGGACGGGUGAGUAAUGUAUGGGGACUGCCCGAUAGAGGGGGAUAACUACUGGAAACGGUAGCUAAUACCGCAUACUAUCGGAUAACCCAUAUGGGAUUAGCUAGUAGGUGAGGUAAUGGCUCACCUAGGCGACGAUCCCUAGCUGGUCUGAGAGGAUGAUCAGCCACACUGGGACUGAGACACGGCCCAGACUCCUACGGAGGCAGCAGUGGGGAAUAUUGGACAAUGGGGGAAAGCCUGAUGCAGCCAUGCCGCGUGUAUGAUGAAGGCCUUAGGGUUGUAAAGUACUUUUAGUAGAGAAGCGGUAUCGACAGAAGAAGCACCGGCUAACUCCGUGCCAGCAGCCGCGGUAAUUC